GAUGAAGAACGUAGCGAAAUGCGAUAAGUAAUGUGAAUUGCAGAAUUCAGUGAAUCAUCGAAUCUUUGAACGCACAUUGCGCCCGCCAGUAUUCUGGCGGGCAUGCCUGUCUGAGCGUCAUUUCAACCCUCAUGCCCCUAGGGCGUGGUGUUGGGGAUCGGCCAAAGCCCGCGAGGGACGGCCGGCCCCUAAAUCUAGUGGCGGACCCGUCGUGGCCUCCUCUGCGAAGUAGUGAUAUUCCGCAUCGGAGAGCGAUGAGCCCCUGCCGUUAAACCCCCAACUUUCCAAGGUUGACCUCAGAUCAGGUAGGAAUACCAGCUGAACUUAAGCAUAUCAAUAAGCGGAGGA
rnacentral:misc_RNA from 1 species